rnacentral:rRNA from 1 species
UACCAGCACCCCGAGUGGUCGGGACGUUUAUUGGGCCUAAAGCAUCCGUAGCCGGUUCUACAAGUCUUCCGUUAAAUCCACCUGCUUAACAGAUGGGCUGCGGAAGAUACUAUAGAGCUAGGAGGCGGGAGAGGCAAGCGGUACUCGAUGGGUAGGGGUAAAAUCCGUUGAUCCAUUGAAGACCACCAGUGGCGAAGGCGGCUUGCCAGAACGCGCUCCGACGGUGAGGGAUGAAAGCUGGG